GGUUUGUGGCUCAGUAGGUAGAGUGCUGGCCUACCAUGUAUGAGGCACUGGGUUCAAUUUUCAGUACCA
rnacentral:tRNA from 1 species